AUGGGCUUCAGGCUCCUCUGCUGUGUGGCCUUUUGUCUCCUGGGAGCAGGCCCAGUGGAUUCUGGAGUCACACAAACCCCAAAGCACCUGAUCACAGCAACUGGACAGCGAGUGACGCUGAGAUGCUCCCCUAGGUCUGGAGACCUCUCUGUGUACUGGUACCAACAGAGCCUGGACCAGGGCCUCCAGUUCCUCAUUCACUAUUAUAAUGGAGAAGAGAGAGCAAAAGGAAACAUUCUUGAACGAUUCUCCGCACAACAGUUCCCUGACUUGCACUCUGAACUAAACCUGAGCUCUCUGGAGCUGGGGGACUCAGCUUUGUAUUUCUGUGCCAGCAGCGUAG